UACGUAGGCAGCGAGCGUUGUUCGGAAUUACUGGGCGUAAAGAGUGUGUAGGCGGUGCUCCCAGUCUGUUGUGAAAUCUCCCGGCUUAACUGGGAGGGUGCAGCGGAAACUAGAGUGCUAGAGGGUGGGAGAGGUAAGCGGAAUUCCUGGUGUAGCGGUGAAAUGCGUAGAUAUCAGGAGGAACACCGGUGGCGAAGGCGGGUCUCUGGGCCGUUACUGACGCUGAGGAGCGAAAGCGUGGGGAGCGAACAGG
rnacentral:rRNA from 1 species